rnacentral:rRNA from 1 species
CACCGGCAGCUCUAGUGGUAGCUGUUUUUAUUGGGCCUAAAGCGUUCGUAGCCGGUUUGAUAAGUCUCUGGUGAAAUCCUGUAGCUUAACUGUGGGAAUUGCUGGUGAUACUGUUGAACUUGAGGUCGGGAGAGGUUAGCGGCACUCCCAGGGUAGAGGUGAAAUUCUGUAAUCCUGGGAGGACCACCUGUGGCGAAGGCGGCUAACUGGAACGAACCUGACGGUGAGGGACGAAAGCUAGGGGCGCGAACCGGAUUAGAUACCCCCGUAGUCCCUGAGCGGGCU